rnacentral:lncRNA from 1 species
CAGGCGGAAGGGAAGGAGGGGAACCCGCCCUCCCCGGCCGCCGCCCAACGACUCAGCGGGAUAAGCAGUCUGUGCUGGCGACUUGAAAUCAAAACCGCAGGUCUCCUUCCUUCCCCUGCCAGCUAAGUUAACCUCCUCAGCACCGAGACUCCUCGAAGGCGUCCUCUCUGGAUGCCAGGGUGUUCUAGUUGGGCACGAGCUGGACCCAAACUAGUCAAGGACUUCCGUCCUCGGUCUGAGCAGUCUGUUGGUGUGGCCUCAGUACUGGCCCAAAUUUUCGAGCAGUCGCCAUAGUAGAACAGUCUCUCAACUGCAUCCAUUUUCCUGCAGAUCACUCAAGUUUAAAGAUGGCCAAUAAAUACAUGAAAAAAUGUUCAAUAUUGCUGGCCAUCAGAGAGACUCAAAUAAAAACAACAUUGAGAUUCCAUCUUGCCCCAGAAAGAAUGGCUAUCAUCAAGACAUCGAAUAACACCAAAUGCUGGUGGGGCUUUGGAGGGCAGGGGGCUUCUGCACUGUUGGUGGGAGUGUACAACCACAGUGGAGAUCUAUGUAGAGAUUUCCCAAAAUCUCAAACUAAAAAUUCAAUUUGAGCCAGCUAUUCUCCCAGGUGUCUUCCUGAAAGAGUUAAAGACGUCAUAUUAUAUCAUAUGUAUCCAGAUACAUGCAUACCUAUGUUUACAGCACCACAAGGCAUAAUAGCUAAAUCAUGGGAGCAGCCUAUAUGUCCAUCAACAGAUGAACGGAUAUGGAAAUGUGGUGUUUGUGCACAAUGGAGUAUACAACUACUCUGCUAUAUACAUGUAUUUCAUACAUAUAGAUUUCUUCUCCCCAUUACUACUCCCUUCAUGAUAG